rnacentral:rRNA from 1 species
CCCUUAGAUGUUCUGGGCAGCACGCGUGCUACACUGAUAUUGCCAAUAUGUCAUUCUUAUCCGAAAUGGAUUGGGUAAUCAAGUAAUGAAAUUUCAUGCUUGGAAUCGGUAAUUGCAAUUUUAUCGUGAACGAGGAAUUCCUAGUAAGCACUAGUCAUCAGCUAAUGUUGAUUAUGUCCCUGCCCUUUGUACACACCGCCCGUCGCUACUACUGAUUGGGUGUUCAAGUGAGAUGCUUAGACCCUUGUUGCAUGGUUCAUUAUUGUGCUCCGAAAGGAAAAAGUUUCAAGCUUGAGUGUCUAGAGGAAGUAAAAGUCGUAACA